rnacentral:rRNA from 1 species
UACGUAGGGGGCAAGCGUUGUCCGGAUUUAUUGGGCGUAAAGAGCGUGUAGGCGGCCAGAUAGGUCCGUUGUGAAAACUCGAGGCUCAACCUCGAGACGCCGAUGGAAACCAUCUGGCUAGAGUCCGGAAGAGGAGAGUGGAAUUCCUGGUGUAGCGGUGAAAUGCGCAGAUAUCAGGAGGAACACCGAUGGCGAAGGCAGCUCGCUGGGACGGUACUGACGCUGAGGCGCGAAAGCGUGGGGAGCAAACAGG